rnacentral:lncRNA from 10 species
CUCAGCCUCAUUUUACCUGGCCCCUACUCAAGAUGGGGUUGCUCUGGUUCAAACGCCUCUGACAGGGUGACAACUGUGACCACAACAGAUUCACAAACAUGACAUUUUCAGAGAGAGGAAGCCUCCCCUGCUCUUAGUCUAUGUGAUUCGGACACAGCCAACUACAUUUCCCAGAUCCAGAAAUGAACACGCCAUUCCAAGUAAAGCCAAUGAGAGACAGCUGCAGGACUUUUGCUGGAACUAUUGGGAAAGUGGUGUUUCUUUUUCUGCUAUGGUUACUUAUCUGCUAUGCUCUAAGCCUGGAACUGCUGGAGGUCAUCUUUGCUGCAUGAAAAUGAAGUCAAUAUUGAGGACAGCAGAGGUGGUUGUGCUCACCCCGCAUCAAGGUUGCUAAGCUGCUGUGAUGGAAUCCUGGAGCUGCUGAAGGACACCUCAUCUCUUUGUGGGAAGCAUCUGCUUGAGGAUUAAGGGAAUGCAGAAAAAAAGUGGAGUAGAGAGAUGGAGGAAGAUGACUUUCGAGGACAUUGUGUGAGCACCUGGAUCUAACUGUGCCUGAAGCAAAACUCAAACCCUGGACUCUCAAUGUAUUGGCUCUCAG